rnacentral:rRNA from 1 species
GCCAUCAGGUCAAGCUGGGGACUCUAAAGGAACUGCCUACGCAAGUAGUGAGGAAGGCGGGGAUGACGUCAAAUCAGCACGGCCCUUACGUCCAGGGCUACACACGUGCUACAAUGGCCGAUACAGAGGGCAGCUACCUGGUGACAGGAUGCAAAUCUCCAAAGUCGGUCUCAGUUCGGAUCGGAGUCUGCAACCCGACUCCGUGAAGUUGGAUUCGCUAGUAAUCGCGCAUCAGCCAUGGCGCGGUGAAUACGUUCCCGGGCCUU